rnacentral:rRNA from 1 species
UUUUCCGGUGGCCAUAGCAAGAGGGUUCCACCCGUUCCCAUUCCGAACACGGCAGUUAAGCCUCUUUGCGCCGAUGGUACUUGGCUCAAUGGGCCUGGGAGAGUAGGUCGCCGCCGGAUUU